rnacentral:lncRNA from 1 species
GCCACCAACACUCAGACCUCUGCCUGGCCUAUGCGACCUCUUCUGGGGUUGGGGUCUGUAGGCCUGGGGAGGGUUACAGAGAAUUACUCGCCAUAGCAAUGCCAGGCACUACUAUUUAGUUGUAAGUUUGGGGACUUUGUGGGUAAAUGCCUCUUGGAGUCUAGAAAGGAACUUAGAGGCAGCUCCUGCGCCCAACAUGCUGCCCCAACCACAUUGCCCUGGAAACAUUCCCAAGAGUGGUCAGAACCAGAUUUUAAUAUAAUAUGCAGCCCAUAAGGACCCUGCUACGCUGUUGAGUGGCCCCUGUUUCUGUUUGAGUCUGAUAUGGCUGCUCUGGUCCGACACCCCCAGUCAGCAGAUAAGAAACUGAGAUCCAAGACAAGAGAAGACUCGGCACGGGUCACAGGUACAACACACAGCCAAGCGUUGUAAGCCCAGUGCUUCAUUCAGCCUGCCAUCUUGGGGGUUGUAGGCCUCUCAUGGGGAAGUGCACAGCUUGCAUUUUCUCUAGGUAGGACUGGCCCUGACCAUGUGGGGAUAAUGAGGUUUCACAAAGAUGCAGGGUCCUAUCUGGAAGUGACCACAGAGUAGGGGGUUAUCUCUUGGUGACCUGUGAAUACCUCUAUGCCUUCAGCACCUGAAGUGAGAAGGGCACCUGUGGCUGCCUCCAGGCUUUCCUAAACAUUUCACUUAGGUGCACAGUGUUUUCUAUGUUUAUUUUCUUCUUUGGGACAAAACUCCCUGAAGGCCAAGUCUCUGCGUGUUGUGUGUGACCUGUAGUAGUCACCUCCUUGUGGGUGAGGAUCAGCGUCAGGAUAACAACCUCCAUGAAAACCAUCCCAAGGAGACCUCUCAGGAACUACGAAGAAAAACUGUGAGUUGUUGGACCCAUGAUUAUGAAGGCAUCCAGAAGUUAACCUUGGAGAUUCAUUGCCCGAAAUUUGGUGAGUCUUGUUUCCUAGGCUGUGGAUGGUACUGUCUGCUCCUCACACUUGGCCAUGUCUCCCUGUGGGCUGUGGUUGUCAUGCACAGAGCACAGCCAUGUACCAGAAUACCAGAUGGGGAGAUGGGUUCUGUCCUCCGUGAGAGCAUUCUGUAACUAGAACACGCAAUGCUGAUUACAGCCCUUCCCAAAGGGCACGAGAACCCAGCCCCAUGGCCCAUAUGCCUCUCUGACUUUUUGGCUCCUCCUUAUGGUUUGAUCUAAGUACCCUUUUCAUGUUGUAUUUAGCACAUGUAUCUUUUAUAUGAAAAACUUUAUACACAUACUUUCGUGAAUUUUUCAUAUCCUGUCAGGUCAUUUUAAACUAUAACCAGUCUUCAGGUUAACUGUAUCCAGAGUUGUAUUCAAAUGUAUCUGGUCUCUUAUCAAUGUGGGUCUUCCACUAGUAAUGCAGAUCAAGGC